GGGAAUCUGCCCUUAGGUUCGGAAUAACCAUUGGAAACGAUGGCUAAUACCGGAUGAUGACGUAAGUCCAAAGAUUUAUCGCCUGAGGAUGAGCCCGCGUAGGAUUAGCUAGUUGGUGUGGUAAGAGCGCACCAAGGCGACGAUCCUUAGCUGGUCUGAGAGGAUGAUCAGCCACACUGGGACUGAGACACGGCCCAGACUCCUACGGGAGGCAGCAGUGGGGAAUAUUGGACAAUGGGCGAAAGCCUGAUCCAGCAAUGCCGCGUGAGUGAUGAAGGCCUUAGGGUUGUAAAGCUCUUUUACCCGGGAUGAUAAUGACAGUACCGGGAGAAUAAGCUCCGGCUAACUCCGUGCCAGCAGCCGCGGUAAUACGGAGGGAGCUAGCGUUGUUCGGAAUUACUGGGCGUAAAGCGCACGUAGGCGGCUUUGUAAGUUAGAGGUGAAAGCCUGGAGCUCAACUCCAGAAUUGCCUUUAAGACUGCAUCGCUUGAAUCCAGGAGAGGUGAGUGGAAUUCCGAGU
rnacentral:rRNA from 1 species